rnacentral:snoRNA from 1 species
CUACCAAAAGUUAACUUUGUUGGAGGGAAGGUUUAUUAAGUAACCUUUACCAGCUUGGGCUAUUUGGAAGAAUAAAAGACCACACUCCACAGUGGGCUAUACUACACUUAUUAUAGUUCGCUACUAUUUUGUGGCCUACAUU